UUUCAACUGAAGAAUGUCUGGAAUUUGGACUUAGGAGAAAGGCUGGACAGGAUUGUAGUUGUAGCCUGGUAACCUUACAGCAGUUACUGGGGCUGUUAUUAUUAUUACUUCAAUCUUAUGUAGAAAUUUGCAAACUGCUUUAUAGUCAUUUUACGCAGAAAAACAAGAACUGACUUACUGUUGCCAAAGAGUGUUCAAAAAUUGCUGACAGCUAAAGAAAGACUCAUUCUGGUGAGGAAAUCAGGACACUGACUAUGAAAGGAGACGUUAUUUACAAUUACUCCAUGACAACACGCAUAAACCUGGAUGAAUGGCCCCCCUACUGUUGAGUUCACCGGCAAAAACAUGCUCAUUGGCAGAGGCCAGCAGAGCAUGAGAUGAAAAGCUGCCUCGUAAGUCUUGGCAAUGACUUCAAACCCUCCCAACUUAAGCAACCACCACCUGCUGUUGGAAGUCAACCCAAAGGCUCUGGCUGGUGUUUGGUAGAAAUCUGUCAUCAUGCCUAG
rnacentral:lncRNA from 1 species